rnacentral:rRNA from 1 species
GAUGAACGCUGGCGGCGUGCUUAACACAUGCAAGUCGAACGGAAAGGCCCAAGCUUGCUUGGGUACUCGAGUGGCGAACGGGUGAGUAACACGUGGGUGAUCUGCCCUGCACUUCGGGAUAAGCCUGGGAAACUGGGUCUAAUACCGGAUAGGACCACAUUUUGGAUGGUGUGGUGGAAAGUUUUUCGGUGUGGGAUGAGCUCGCGGCCUAUCAGCUUGUUGGUGGGGUAAUGGCCUACCAAGGCGUCGACGGGUAGCCGGCCUGAGAGGGUGUACGGCCAAAUUGGGAUGGAGAUACGGCCAAGACUCCUACGGGAGGCAGCGGUGGGGAAUAUUGCAAAAUGGGGGCAAGCCUGAUGCAGGGAGGCGGCGUGGGGGAGGACGGCCUUCGGGUGGUAACUCCUUUCGCUAGGGACGAAGCGUUAUGUGACGGUACCUGGAGAAGAAGCACCGGCUAACUACGUG